AUUGAACGCUGGCGGCAUGCCUUACACAUGCAAGUCGAGCGGCGGCACGGCAAUAGCAAUAUUGUGGGUGGCGAGCGGCGGACGGGUGAGGAAUGCAUCGGGAUCUACCCUGUCGUGGGGGACAACGUAGGGAAACUUACGCUAAUACCGCAUGAUCUGGAGACAGCAAAGCCGGGGACCUUCGGGCCUGGCGCGAUGGGAUGAGCCGAUGUCCGAUUAGCUAGUUGGCGGGGUAAAGGCCCACCAAGGCGACGAUCGGUAGCUGGUCUGAGAGGACGACCAGCCACACUGGAACUGAGACACGGUCCAGACUCCUACGGGAGGCAGCAGUAAGGAAUAUUGCUCAAUGGCCGAAAGGCUGAAGCAGCAACGCCGCGUGGAGGAUGAAAUACUUUUGUAUGUAAACUCCUGUAAGAAGGGAAAAUAUGCAGUUUUUCUGCAUUGAUUGUACCUUCAGAGUAAGCCCCGGCUAACUACGUGCC
rnacentral:rRNA from 1 species